CAGGUGACAGAAGCUUCUGUGGCUGUUGUGUUACAGGCGUGUCUGCAGGGACGACCUCACCAACUCCUACCUUGGAUGCUGCACAAAAGACCAGCUCCCAUGGCAGGGGUCCUCUGACAGGAGAGACCAAAGACAUGGCAGGCAGGAAAUUCCAGGACCCAUUAGAAAUCAUGUGGCAAAUGCUGAAGGAACGUCUGCAGAGAAGGCAAGAAAUGAAAGGAGAGCCUGCGGAGAAAGAAGCAUUUCCCGGAGGAAGCAGUGGUUGCAUGCCAGCCUCAGCUCCAGGAAGGGAGGCCAUGCCAGGCACAGGCACAGGAG